rnacentral:rRNA from 1 species
CCUACGGGAGGCAGCAGUGGGGAAUAUUGCGCAAUGGGCGAAAGCCUGACGCAGCGAUGCCGCGUGAGGGAUGAAGGUCUUCGGAUCGUAAACCUCUGUCAGCAGGGAAGAACGGUCUGUGUGCUAAUCAGCAGUGAAUUGACGGUACCUGCAAAGGAAGCACCGGCUAACUCCGUGCCAGCAGCCGCGGGAAUACGGAGGGUGCAAGCGUUAAUCGGAAUUACGGGGCGUAAAGCGCACGUAGGCGGUAUGUCAAGUCAAGGGUGAAAUCCCCGGGCUCAACGUGGGAACUGCCUUUGAAACUGGCAAACUGGAGUGUGUGAGAGGAUAGUGGAAUUCCAGGUGUAGGAGUGAAAUCCGUAGAUAUCGGGAGGAACAUCAGUGGCGAAGGCGACUAUCUGGCACAUAACUGACGCUGAGGAGCGAAAGCGUGGGUAGCAAACAGGAUUAGAUACCCUAGUAGUC